AAUAAAUAAAUAAAAUAUAAUUAAUAGAAUAUUGUUUUAUCGUCAAAAGAAAUAGAUAAGUAAAAUAUAAAGUAUGGGUGAACGUUAUAAUAUACAUAGCCAGUUGGAACAUUUGCAAUCUAAAUAUAUUGGAACUGGACACGCAGAUACAACUAAAUUCGAGUGGCUUGUGAAUCAACAUCGGGAUUCCUGUAGUUCUUAUAUGGGACAUUACGAUUUAUUAAAUUUCUUUGCAAUCGCUGAAAACGAAACGAAAGCACGUGUGCGAUUUAAUCUUAUGGAGAAAAUGCUACAACCUUGUGGUCCUCCUCCAGAAAAACCAGAAGAUUAACCGAUUUUGAUAAUAAGAUUGUACUUAAGUUUUCAAUAAUACAUUCUUAAAAUUAUUUGAUAUAUCAA
rnacentral:misc_RNA from 1 species